CGGGACACGUGGUAUCCUGUCUGAAUAUGGGGGGACCAUCCUCCAAGGCUAAAUACUCCUGACUGACCGAUAGUGAACCAGUACCGUGAGGGAAAGGCGAAAAGAACCCCGGCGAGGGGAGUGAAAAAGAACCUGAAACCGUGUACGUACAAGCAGUGGGAGCACGCUUAGGCGUGUGACUGCGUACCUUUUGUAUAAUGGGUCAGCGACUUAUAUUCUGUAGCAAGGUUAACCGAAUAGGGGAGCCGAAGGGAAACCGAGUCUUAACUGGGCGUUAAGUUGCAGGGUAUAGACCCGAAACCCGGUGAUCUAGCCAUGGGCAGGUUGAAGGUUGGGUAACACUAACUGGAGGACCGAACCGACUAAUGUUGAAAAAUUAGCGGAUGACUUGUGGCUGGGGGUGAAAGGCCAAUCAAACCGGGAGAUAGCUGGUUCUCCCCGAAAGCUAUUUAGGUAGCGCCUCGUGAAUUCAUCUCCGGGGGUAGAGCACUGUUUCGGCAAGGGGGUCAUCCCGACUUACCAACCCGAUGCAAACUGCGAAUACCGGAGAAUGUUAUCACGGGAGACACACGGCGGGUGCUAACGUCCGUCGUGAAGAGGGAAACAACCCAGACCGCCAGCUAAGGUCCCAAAGUCAUGGUUAAGUGGGAAACGAUGUGGGAAGGCCCAGACAGCCAGGAUGUUGGCUUAGAAGCAGCCAUCAUUUAAAGAAAGCGUAAUAGCUCACUGGUCGAGUCGGCCUGCGCGGAAGAUGUAACGGGGCUAAACCAUGCACCGAAGCUGCGGCAGCGACGCUUAUGCGUUGUUGGGUAGGGGAGCGUUCUGUAAGCCUGUGAAGGUGUGCUGUGAGGCAUGCUGGAGGUAUCAGAAGUGCGAAUGCUGACAUAAGUAACGAUAAAGCGGGUGAAAAGCCCGCUCGCCGGAAGACCAAGGGUUCCUGUCCAACGUUAAUCGGGGCAGGGUGAGUCGACCCCUAAGGCGAGGCCGAAAGGCGUAGUCGAUGGGAAACAGGUUAAUAUUCCUGUACUUGGUGUUACUGCGAAGGGGGGACGGAGAAGGCUAUGUUGGCCGGGCGACGGUUGUCCCGGUUUAAGCGUGUAGGCUGGUUUUCCAGGCAAAUCCGGAAAAUCAAGGCUGAGGCGUGAUGACGAGGCACUACGGUGCUGAAGCAACAAAUGCCCUGCUUCCAGGAAAAGCCUCUAAGCAUCAGGUAACAUCAAAUCGUACCCCAAACCGACACAGGUGGUCAGGUAGAGAAUACCAAGGCGCUUGAGAGAACUCGGGUGAAGGAACUAGGCAAAAUGGUGCCGUAACUUCGGGAGAAGGCACGCUGAUAUGUAGGUGAAGUCCCUCGCGGAUGGAGCUGAAAUCAGUCGAAGAUACCAGCUGGCUGCAACUGUUUAUUAAAAACACAGCACUGUGCAAACACGAAAGUGGACGUAUACGGUGUGACGCCUGCCCGGUGCCGGAAGGUUAAUUGAUGGGGUCAGCGCAAGCGAAGCUCUUGAUCGAAGCCCCGGUAAACGGCGGCCGUAACUAUAACGGUCCUAAGGUAGCGAAAUUCCUUGUCGGGUAAGUUCCGACCUGCACGAAUGGCGUAAUGAUGGCCAGGCUGUCUCCACCCGAGACUCAGUGAAAUUGAACUCGCUGUGAAGAUGCAGUGUACCCGCGGCAAGACGGAAAGACCCCGUGAACCUUUACUAUAGCUUGACACUGAACAUUGAGCCUUGAUGUGUAGGAUAGGUGGGAGGCUUAGAAGUGUGGACGCCAGUCUGCAUGGAGCCGACCUUGAAAUACCACCCUUUAAUGUUUGAUGUUCUAACGUUGACCCGUAAUCCGGGUUGCGGACAGUGUCUGGUGGGUAGUUUGACUGGGGCGGUCUCCUCCUAAAGAGUAACGGAGGAGCACGAAGGUUGGCUAAUCCUGGUCGGACAUCAGGAGGUUAGUGCAAUGGCAUAAGCCAGCUUGACUGCGAGCGUGACGGCGCGAGCAGGUGCGAAAGCAGGUCAUAGUGAUCCGGUGGUUCUGAAUGGAAGGGCCAUCGCUCAACGGAUAAAAGGUACUCCGGGGAUAACAGGCUGAUACCGCCCAAGAGUUCAUAUCGACGGCGGUGUUUGGCACCUCGAUGUCGGCUCAUCACAUCCUGGGGCUGAAGUAGGUCCCAAGGGUAUGGCUGUUCGCCAUUUAAAGUGGUACGCGAGCUGGGUUUAGAACGUCGUGAGACAGUUCGGUCCCUAUCUGCCGUGGGCGCUGGAGAACUGAGGGGGGCUGCUCCUAGUACGAGAGGACCGGAGUGGACGCAUCACUGGUGUUCGGGUUGUCAUGCCAAUGGCACUGCCCGGUAGCUAAAUGCGGAAGAGAUAAGUGCUGAAAGCAUCUAAGCACGAAACUUGCCCCGAGAU
rnacentral:rRNA from 1 species